rnacentral:lncRNA from 1 species
GAUGAUUGUGUGAUUUUGAGAGAAGAAACUAGUGAAUCCCGGCUGCCCUCCUUUUUUGUGAGAAAAAGGUGUCUAGAAGUGUCCAAAACGCUUGUAUAACGUGUGCAAUUGGUAGUUCUUUCAUAUUAUACCUUUGUGGUGUCUUCUCCUAGCCUUUGUGGCGAUAAAUCAUCAUCCCUUCUUGUCCUACGUGGGUAAGAUUGUAUAGCAACCAAGGUGAAUCAAUUUGGUUGUGGUUUGGAGCCGUGUGGAUUGGUUGUUGGUAGAGAAAGGUACGUUGGACUGAGCCUGGAAAAUCACCGUUUGAAGAUCCUUUUGAGAGAGCUUCCGCAACAAUUGGUAUCAGAGCUUCAAGGUGAAGGUUUUGGCUCGAGAAAUCUACCAGAAAUCGUCCAAAAAANNNNN